rnacentral:rRNA from 1 species
CAGCGGCGGACGGGUGAGUAAUGCCUAGGAAUCUGCCUGGUAGUGGGGGACAACGUUUCGAAAGGAACGCUAAUACCGCAUACGUCCUACGGGAGAAAGCAGGGGACCUUCGGGCCUUGCGCUAUCAGAUGAGCCUAGGUCGGAUUAGCUAGUUGGUGGGGUAAUGGCUCACCAAGGCGACGAUCCGUAACUGGUCUGAGAGGAUGAUCAGUCACACUGGAACUGAGACACGGUCCAGACUCCUACGGGAGGCAGCAGUGGGGAAUAUUGGACAAUGGGCGAAAGCCUGAUCCAGCCAUGCCGCGUGUGUGAAGAAGGUCUUCGGAUUGUAAAGCACUUUAAGUUGGGAGGAAGGGCAGUAAGCUAAUACCUUGCUGUUUUGACGUUACCGACAGAAUAAGCACCGGCUAACUCUGUGCCAGCAGCCGCGGUAAUACAGAGGGUGCAAGCGUUAAUCGGAAUUACUGGGCGUAAAGCGCGCGUAGGUGGUUUGUUAAGUUGGAUGUGAAAGCCCCGGGCUCAACCUGGGAACUGCAUCCAAAACUGGCAAGCUAGAGUACGGUAGAGGGUGGUGGAAUUUCCUGUGUAGCGGUGAAAUGCGUAGAUAUAGGAAGGAACACCAGUGGCGAAGGCGACCACCUGGACUGAUACUGACACUGAGGUGCGAAAGCGUGGGGAGCAAACAGGAUUAG